GCGGAGGAAAAGAAACUAACAAGGAUUCCCCUAGUAGCGGCGAGCGAAGGGGGAAGAGCUCAAAUUUAUAAUCUGGCGCUUUCAGCGUCCGAGUUGUAAUCUCUAGAAACGUUUUCCGCGUUGGACCGCACACAAGUCUGUUGGAAUACAGCGGCACAGUGGUGAGACCCCCGUAUACGGUGCGGAUGCCCAAUGCUUUGUGAUACGUUUUCGAAGAGUCGAGUUGUUUGGGAAUGCAGCUCAAAUUGGGUGGUAAAUUCCAUCUAAAGCUAAAUAUUGGCGAGAGACCGAUAGCGAACAAGUACCGUGAGGGAAAGAUGAAAAGCACUUUGGAAAGAGAGUUAACAGUACGUGAAAUUGUUGGAAGGGAAACGCUUGAAGUCAGACUUGCUGUUCGGAGUUCAGCCGCAAGGUGUACUCUCCGAGUUGCAGGCCAGCAUCAGUUUUCUGGGGUGGAAAAUCGUGGUUUGAAGGUAGCAGUUUCGGCUGUGUUAUAGCUUUCCACUGGAUACACCCUGGGGGACUGAGGAACGCAGCGUGCUUUUUGCGGGGGCUUCGGCCUCUUCACGCUUAGGAUGCUGGUGGAAUGGCUUUAAACGACCCGUCUUGAAACACG
rnacentral:rRNA from 1 species